rnacentral:lncRNA from 1 species
GGGCUGUUGUAAAGGAAGAGUCCAUUGGAGCAGACUGGGAGUUCGAAGUGUGGUGGCUCUUCAUUGGCUGAGUUAUGGCCGUCUGUCAUUGGCUGAGCUGUUGCUGGGCAAGGAGGAGUUUCUUCCUUCCUCCUGCUGGGGUAGUAAGUAGGUAGCAUCAUUUCCUAUUGGAGAUGCAAGAUAGCCUCUUCCUGGUGUGUGUCUUUGCAGAUGUCAUCCAGUUAAGAUGCGGUCAUCAGGUGGGCCCUAAUCCAAUAUGACUAGUGUCCUUAUAAGAGGAGGAGAGACACAAACACAGACACACCCAGAGGGAAGACCAAGUGACCACCAAGAUUGGGGUUAUGUAUUUACAAGCCAAGGACUGCCAACAACAGCAGAAGCCAAGAGAAAGGCAUGGAACAGAUUGUCUCCUGGAGCCUUCAGAGAGAUCAUGGCCCUGCUGACACUUUGAUUUGGGACUUGUAAUCUCCAGACCUGUGAGAGACUACAUUUCUUUUGUUUUCAGUCCCUCAGUUUAUGGUACUUCGUUAUAGCAGCCCAAGCAAAGUAAGACAGCAAUUAUCUCGCUGGCCCAUUUGGAGUAGCCUACUCACUGUGAUGGGGACCAUGACUUAUUUCUCUGUGUUUCAUAAAUGAACUGCCACAAGUCCAUAGGUCGGGUGAAAGACCAACGUAACCUUGAAAUGAGUGAUCUGGAGUGAAGGUCACAUCCAUUUCUGUUCCUGAGAGCAGGUACCAGUUAACUACUAGGAUGGAAGCAAAUCUCUUGUUGGUUUUUUCCUCUCACCACUCUUUCCACUUCUUGUGAAUGGUUUAAAAAAAAAGAGAAGCAAUUGACUGUUUUUUUAAAAGUUAUUUUAUGAUGUUAAAUUUUUAUUGUGAAAGGAAAAAUGUUAAAGGGAAAGCUGCUUAUCUCAACCUGAAAGACAUACAGUGAGAGAAAAACUCAGACAGCAACUUAACGACUUACUGGUCUAGUGGUCCACAAUCCUGGCUGCACUUCAUAAUUACCUGGCGCCCUUUAAAAAUACCAUCAUUUAGGGGCUGGCCCCGUGGCCAAGUGGUUAAGUUCGCACGCUCCGCUGCAGGCGGCCCAGUGUUUCGUUGGUUCGAAUCCUGGGCGCGGACAUGGCACUGCUCAUGAAACCACGCUGAGGCAGCGUCCCAUAUGCCACAACUAGAAGGAGCCACAACGAAGAAUAUACAACUAUGUACUGGGGGGCUUUGGGGAGAAAAAGGAAAAAAUAAAAUCUUUA